rnacentral:rRNA from 1 species
GACGAACGCUGGCGGCGUGCUUAACACAUGCAAGUCGAACGGCAAGGCCCUGCUAUUUUGGUCUGCUCGAGUGCCGAUCGGGUGCGUAACACGUGUGUAACCUGCUCUACACUUUGGUGUAACUUCAGGAAACUAGGGCUACUCCCGGAUCGCAUCUCCUGUUCCAUGGUGGGCGUUGGAUCUUCUCGGCGGUUGGGGAUGGACUCGCGGCUUAUCAGCUUGUUGGUUGGGUAGUUGCUGACCAAGGCUUUGACGGGUAGCCGGCCUGAGAGGGUGACCGGGGACAAGGGGACUGAGGGACGGAGCAGACGGGUACGGGGGGCAGCAGGGGGGAAUAUGGCACAAUGAGCGGAAGCGGGAGGAGGCAACGCCGCGGGCGGGAUGACGGCCUUCGGGGUGUAAAACGCUGUCGCCUGUGACGAAGCGGGAGUGACGGUAAUGGGUAAAGAAGCACCGGCUAACUACGUG